UAAGGAAUGAGAUAAGUUACUGCUUUUCUAGACUUCCUAGCAUGGGCUGUUGUGCUGGAGAGAACGAGAGCUACGAAGAGACUACAGUGCCUCUGACUUUUUCAUAGGACAGUUGGCCGAGGAAGACAAACAUAAAGAUGAAGUGCUUAAUUCAAGGUCACACAAUGUCGGGGAUGGACCUCCAGAUUUCCUUACUGACCUGCAUUAUCUUGUGGAUACCUGAGUGAAUUCCACACCACCCAUUUUAUAGAUGAAACCACUGAGACAUGGAGCAAUUGACUGAGUAGUCACUGCCCCACCCCUGCCUGGAGCCUCACACAUGACUCGCCUCCUCUCAGUGACCACAGGUUGGUUGAGGGGUUUAACAAGGCUAAGAAGGUGAGACGUGGUCUUGUAACACAGUGGUUAAGAAUGUGACUUUGGAGCCAGCCUGCUAGGGGCUGAAUUCUGACUCAGCCAUUUACUAACUGUGUGACCUUAGGUGGAGUCUCACUCUGUAGCCCAAGCUGGAGUGGCGUGAUCUCGACUCACUGCAACCUCCGCCUCCUGGGAUCAAGUGAUUCUCGUGCCUCAGCCUCCUGAGUAGCCGGGACUACAGGUCACAGAAUUUUCCACACUCCUUGACAGAGGUGCUUAACCCUUAUCCAUCAGCAUUCUCAGACAGCACCUCCGGUUA
rnacentral:lncRNA from 1 species